rnacentral:rRNA from 1 species
UACGAAGGGGGCUAGCGUUGUUCGGAAUUACUGGGCGUAAAGCGCACGUAGGCGGCAUUCCAAGUUGGAGGUGAAAUCCCCGGGCUUAACCUGGGAACUGCCUCCAAAACCGGGAAGCUCGAGUCCGAGAGAGGUAAGUGGAAUUCCGAGUGUAGAGGUGAAAUUCGUAGAUAUUCGGAGGAACACCAGUGGCGAAGGCGGCUUACUGGCUCGAUACUGACGCUGAGGUGCGAAAGCGUGGGGAGCAAACAGG